CCAAAACAGACAACCAAGUCAACCUUCAACAUCAAGGCAAGCAGACAUAGAAGAAGGUGUAGAUGUCAGUGACCUGCCUGCCUUGAUGGAUUCAGACGAUGAUGUUAAUAGAUGACCUUCUUCCUCUCUCUCCUGCUGUCUGUAUCUCCCACCACCCCAACUUUCCAUGACUCAGUCUCACACACCGUCACCACUGCCACCAUCUCUCAGCCUUCCAGUGUGCCCUCUAUCUUCUCGAUUCUGAUCUAGAGACAGAAUCCAUGUGAAUGGAAAUGAUAAGUGCUACCUCCACAUCAGGCCCUUGGAAGCCUCCAUGUGCCUGUCACCAGCUUUUCCAUUUCCAGAUGACUGGGAUGGAUUCUGCCCUCAGAGAAACCUUCAAAGGAACUGAUAACACAUUGAUCCUGCCACCUAUUUUCCAGUCCUCAUCCCUAGCCUAGCCUCACUUUUCUCCACUUCCAGAUUGGAAUUCAUGGCCUAUCAUCAUUAUCACUCCCUUGAAACAUCCGCAACAGCCUACAUAAUCUGUUUUGCCCAUAAAACUGCCCAGAGAAUCUUCAGUCUGGGAAUCUUCCAUCAACUCUGUGCUUGAAGAAAAAGACCCAAACUUGUUGACUGGACUCAUUUUAAAUCAUGACCACUAACCUCAGGUGGGACCCUGAUGUGACUUGGCAAUCCUCUUACAAUUCCCCACUCCAGUAACUCUCCCACUCUCUCCAAGAAGUAUUUUACACCAUCUUCUCUUUCCUCAAAAUGCUAUACCACCACUACUCCUAUCCUACUCUUAGUUUUCUUCUAUUUCACCAAGAAAACAGUAAUAAUCACAGAAAACAAAUUCUAAAUGUACACAGCAUGCCAUUUCUAGCUCAUCCACCAUUGUUCUCAUAUAUUUAGUCCUCACUCCUAUUAAUAAUGAUGGAUGAUUCCACUUGUUCUCUAAACAUCAGAACUAUCCCUACCUACUGUACCACUUUACAGCAAAACUGCUCUCUCCAUGUCUUCUUCUUUCAGUCUUUCUUGAACUCACUAAUUUUCUCUCAUUACCCAACAAAAUAUCUUCA
rnacentral:lncRNA from 1 species